GCGCGAAAACUUUACAAUGCUGGCAACAGCGAUAAGGGAACCUCGAGUGCCAGGUUACAAAUCUGGCUGUCGAGAUGCCUAAAAAGCAUUUCAUAGCAAGGGCCGGGCAAGACCGGUGCCAGCCGCCGCGGUAACACCGGCGGCUCGAGUGGUAACCGUUAUUAUUGGGUCUAAAGGGUCUGUAGCCGGCCGGAUAAGUCUCUUGGGAAAUCUGGCAGCUCAACUGUCAGGCUUUCAGGAGAUACUGUCUGGCUCGAGGCCGGGAGAGGUGAGAGGUGCUUGAGGGGUGUGGGUGGAAUAUAGUAAUCGAUGAAGGGCAAUCAGUGGCGAGGGCGUCUGACCAGAACGGAUCUGACGGCAAGGGACGAAAGCUAGGGGCACGAACCG
rnacentral:rRNA from 1 species